rnacentral:lncRNA from 1 species
AUAUAAUAUAAUAUAAUAUAAUAUAAUACGUAAAUAGCGAUUGCCAUUAAAGCUAAUGGUAAAAAAUAGUAACGUGCAUCUAUUUGUGAAUGAACAUAAAAUUAAUUCAGCAAAACCAAAAAAAGAAAAGAAAUUCACUGAUAGCUAACUUUUCUAUUUGUGCAAUGAAAUUUCCUUCAUACACAUUCUGAAACGUGGUUCUAACUAGUCUAACGAGUGUCAUUACUAAAUUGCUACGCAAAAAUGAAACACUUUUUCUCUUAAUCUCUUAAUAUGUCUUGCGCGUCCAUGGUCUUCUGGUAAAUAUUUCCCAAUAUUUUCUCUACCCUCUAAUCUCUUUUUUUCUGUUGAGAAAUGUAAGAGCAACUCCAACAGCAUAAUCAUAUCCAACAGCAUAAUCAAAUGAGGCAUUAAAGGCCUAACUGCCAAUUUGAUGCCCAAAAUUUCAUUCUUUCGGCCUCCAGCAGGGUAGUCAAACGGUGGGUGCAUUUUUGGCUCCCAUAAAUUCAAUAACCAAAAAAUUCCAACUGUAAUUUCACACCCCAACGGUCAUUUUUUCUAAACCAAAAAAUUGAUUCAAAAAAUCAGAUUCACCUCAUCAUAUUUCUACAACCCAAUCAAAUAAUUUUCUCAAAUCUUUUAUUUGACUCCACACUAAAAGGAGAGUAAUUCCUUCUUAGGCAAAAAGAGAGAGCGAGAAAAAGUGAAGUAGAAACGAGUGAAACCGAAAAGAACAGAGGUGAAGCAGAGGUAUGUUUUCUGGUUUUUUUUUUUUUUUUUUUGCAACGGCUGUAUAUGGAAGAAGAUGAUGUAGAAAUUAGGUUUAGUUUUUAGUUUUAUAAUAUUUAAAUUGACUUAAGUGGAUUAGGUUGAUUGGGCUGGGCUGGGCUUAGUUAAUUUAUUUUAGUUGAAUUGGAUAAAUUAAUAUAUUUAAAAAUUGAUGAUCCAUUUGAUGUUUUAUUGUUGGAGUGGAAGACUUUUAUUCAAUAACUAAAACACUGUAGCAAUAAUCAAUAGACAUUUGAGUACUCAUUUUUGAUUACUAUUGUUGUAGUUGCCCUGAGAAACAAAAAAUGGCACUCAAG